rnacentral:lncRNA from 1 species
AAAAUAGAGAUCUCUAUUAUAGAGAAAGAAAUAGAAGUGGGUUGGAGCAAUUUCACCACGCGUUCGGUUUUUCUUAACUAGCUAAAUCAAUACCUUUUUGAUAGAUUUAAUUAUCCAUUUAUACUAUGCUUCUCAAUUAAAUCUUCAUUUUUUAAAAAAUUUGCUUGGUUUACACUUCACAUGUCUUAUUUGCUCAGUUCUUUUUAGGUUAGAACUUAGAUGGCAAAAGUGGUAGU